UUUAUACAAAACCCUACAGAAACGCCAUUAAUUUCCCCAUAGUUUUUUCCAACGAACCAUGGAGGAGUUAGUGCCUACUUAAAGAUACUGUAAUGACCUGACUAGAUCAUAAAGGAACAAUUGUCCAGACAGAGGAUUGAGUUUACGAAUUGACGGUUUAUUAACCCUACUUUACACAGGCUACUGUUUGGCCGUAGCACACGCCAAAUAAAUGAAAGAUAACUACAAGCCAGCUUCUCUUGUGAAGGCCAGACAUAAGAGAGAGAACAAAGGCUAAACCUGGUCUUAACUUCCAAUGCUCCAUCCCCCUGCCCAACCCCUCUCCACGCCACUCCGCCAACCGCCAGGAUGCCCGGCAUCAGAACAUUCCAGUCAUUCCCGUGAUUGGCAGAUAGCAGGUAGAUUGGAAUGUCGGACCCCGCGAACACUGGGUACUGAAUACUGCCUCAAAAAACAGAAGCAGCAGUUAAUCAGGACAUCUCCAAGAUGGUCAGUGAACAGGGACACCUACUUUGCCAACACCACAACCAACUGGGGAAGGCUAUGAAUGAGGCCCUCCACAUUCUUCAACAGCUCGACAUUCCCAGAGGGGUGUCACCUCCAACAAGAGGAGGAUUCUCUACCACAAUUUGACCCAGUGAGCCCGCACCCCAGCCCAUCCAACAGUCCACUCAGGUCAGCGAUGCCCGUUUGUCCCUCCCGGACAAAUAUGACUGGUCUCGCUGAAAAUGCUGUGGCGUCCUACUCCAAAUGCUGUGGCGUCCUACUCCAGUGCUCCCUCUAUUUCACUCAUCAGAUGUGAUCACCCACCAUGGAGAGGUCCAAGGUUGCCAUUGUUAUUUCCUGCUGACCGGACGGGCGUUGGUGGGGGCUACAGCUGUCUGGGGGAGAGGAGGAGCUGGGUUCCUAUAAGGGGUUCAUGGUUCUGUUAAGGGGGGUCUUUCACCAUCCACCGGAGGGCAGAGAGGUAGGUGAGUGCUUAAUCCAACUAUGGCAGGAUGGCCAGACCACGACGGAGUAUGACCUUACCUUUCGGACAGUGGCAGUGGAUGGAAUGAGCGGGCACUGUGCACCAUAUUCAGAAGAGGAUUGCGCGAAGAGUUACAGAUAGAGUUGGUGUGCCAAGAUGACAAUCUUACCUUGGACACACUCAUCGCGAUGGCCAUCUGUCUGGAUAACCUUCUUCGGGAACAUCGUCACCCCCAUCACCUCUCUUCCUCCUUCGUUGUCUGUUCUGAGUGAGAGCCUGAACCCAUGGAGGUAGGGGCUCCAAGCGGCUGGGCAACGCCGGACAGUUGGGGCUCUGUCCCAAUUGUGGCCAGGAGGGGCACCAGCUUCAAUGGUGUCCGGUACGUCCCAACCCAGGAUACACGAGAGCAGAGGGAUUGCCCCAUGAUCAUCCAUUUCCUGUGUUAGGCGUGAGUAAUUCAUCACUUUCCGCCAAACCUUUUUUAGUAUUGAUUUCACCUGCUGGCUGUCCCUCAUCUAUUGAUUCUACAGCUCUAGUGGAUUCCGCUGCCACAGGGAAUUUUAUUGACCAGGCCCUUGCCUCCUCCCUGCACAUCACCUUAUACCCGCUCUCCUCUCCGUUUCCGGUCCAAGUGUUGCAUUGCGACCAUUUGGCUCAGGCACUAUUACGCACAUCACAACUCCACUCACCCUCACCGUGGGAUCUAAGCACCAAGAAAGCCUUCCCUUCCUCAUCACCUCCACACCGGUGCACAAAGUCAUCAUUGGCCUCCUGUGGCUCCAACUCCAUUAUCCUACCAUCUCCUGGUCAGGGAGAAAGAUUACAGCCUGGGGAUCACGAUGUCAGAGGACCUGUUUUUCCACACCCUAUGGUUCCACGUCGGUGGAGGGGCUCAGUGAGUGUCUGCCAACCCAUCAAUCGGUCCUCCUGUAUCGUUGGCCCCGUGUUUUGGGUUGUGGACAUCCACCAGGCUCUGGAGAGGGAACCCGCUCCUGCCCUCCAGAGCGCAUUUACAUCCACAUGGGGGUCAGAGAUUGGUUGCUGACCUGGGCGCACACAUCCCUCUCCACUGGACACCCAGUUAUCACCUGCACCACUCAAUCCCUUUCUGAGAAAUACUAGGGGCCCACUUUGGAGAAGAACGUUGCACACUGUAAACAAAUUUUCAGUACUCUGCCUCAGCAUCCCUGGUCUCAUCUGUCCAUUGAUUUCGUCACUGAUCUCCCCUCUGAUGGUUUCACCACCAUUUUGGUGGCUGUGGACAGAUUCUCAAAAUCAUGCCGUUUCAUUCCCCUCUCUGGUCUCCCUACCACUCCAAGUCACUGAGGCACUGUUCCAGCAGGUCUUCCGUCAAUACGGCCUUCCAGAGGAUAUCGUCUCCGAUCGUUGUCCCCAAUUCACAUCAAGUCUAUGGAGGGCUUUCAUGGAGAAGCUGGUGGUCAAGGUUAGUCUCACUUCCAGGUACUGGCCUCAAUCUAACGAGCAGGUUGAGAGGAUGACCCAGGAGCUUGGGAGGUUCCUGAGGAAUCACUGCCAGGUCCGGCAGGGCCGAUUCCUUCCUUGGGCUGAAUACAUCCAGAAUUCAUUGCGACACUCCUCCACCGGGCUGACUCCCAUCCAGUGUGUUCUGGGUUAUCAGCCGGCCCUGACUCCACACCAGACCGAUGCUCCUGCAGUGGAUGAGUGGUUCAGGUGCGCAGAGGUAUGGAAUGAUGCCCACCUGAGACUCCAGCGCACCGUUAGAAAGAGCAGACGGAUAGUUACCGAAGUGGGGCUCCUGUGUUCCAUCCUGGUGACCGCGUCACUCUCCACCAGGAACUGUUCAAGGUCCUCCGGAGGGUCAACGAACUAACUACCGGAUCUUUUCAUGUAUCUCCCCUCAGGCCGGUGGUUCCUGGUCCCCUGGCUGAUGCCGUCCCCCAUGACACCCCUCCCCCCUUGGACAUCGAGGGGAGCCCCACCUAUGCUGUCAGAUCACUCCUAGACUCCUGACGUCUUUGGGGUCUGCUCCAGUACCUAGCAGACUGAAAGGGGUACAGUCCAGAGGAGCGCUGCUGCGUUCCGGUGGAUGUUCUAGAUCCCAACAUUAUCUGAGAAUUCCACCUUCGCCAAUCGGCCUGCUCCUCGCCCUCAGGAGCCGCCCUCCUGGCCGACGUUGUCCUGCAAGUUGGUGCUGCCUGUCGGGGGGGUACUGUCACGUCUACUCCGGCGCUCGACGUCGCCGGUCUACUAACCACCGUUCCUGGCAACCUAUCAUUAUGCACACCUGCACCCCCUCAUGAGGCACACCUGGACACCAUCACUACCCUGAUUACUCCCCCUUUAUUUAGCACUCCCUACUAUCACUCUUCAGGCAGUAUUGGUUAUGUUUCCUUGUCAGACGUUUCUCUUUUGUAUGGUAUUAUUAAACUCACUAACUGCA